CCAUCAAUCAUUAUCUAUUCAUACACAACCUGGAAUUUCUGCCAAAUCAUCAGACUCAAGUAGGCUUUAAUCCAAAUUCAAUUUGAGUAAUACUAACAUUUAGAGAUGCAAUUGCCAUCAUUCCAAGUAAAAGAAUUCUUCUCCAGUUGCUUCAAAUGGAAAUUCAAAGAACUGUAUGCCAUCAAUCAUUAUCUAUUCAUACACAACUUGGGAUUCAUGCCAAAUCAUCAGACUCAAGUAGGCUUUAAUCCAAAUCCAAUUUGAGUAAUGCUAACAUUUAGAGAUGCAAUUGCCAUCAUUCCAGUAAAAGAAUUCUUCUCCAGUUGCUUCAAAUGGAAAUUCAAAGAACUGUAUGCCAUCAAUCAUUAUCUAUUCAUACACAACUUGGGAUUCAUGCCAAAUCAUCAGACUCAAGUAGGCUUUAAUCCAAAUCCAAUUUGAGUGAUGCUAACAUUUAGAGAUGCAAUUGCCAUCAUUCCAGCAAGAGAAUUCUUCUCCAGUUGCUUCAAAUGGGAAUUCAAAGAACUGUAUGCCAUCAAUCAUUAUCUAUUCAUACACAACCUGGGAUUCAUGCCAAAUCAUCAGA
rnacentral:lncRNA from 1 species